UUCCUGAUUUUCCCAUCGUUCGGUGCAUUCUGGGGCUGUUUUGGCUAUUGGUUGCUUGUUUGGUCUUGAGCCGAACGGGUGGCUUCUAGUCUGGUGGCUUCGGGGAUGUUGACCGUAAAGGUGGAUGAGUGGUGUUUGGUUUGUUACGUGUGGUUGGCUGCGGCGUUUGCAACAACUUCCAUGCUUUCAGACCUCUUCAGUUGUGCGGCAAGGCUUGUAUCGCCUUGAGCGUAUUGUGGGUUUUCUGUGUUGGCUACCUAAUCAAUGGUAUCGGUUGGAUUGAUCAAUGUUUCAUUUCGUCUAUCGUCGCAUUUGCGGCGUGAGAUGAACCUUGAUGCGGUCUCUUUGAUCCACCUCGUCGAAGCGCAUGCUUUGGCGUUGUGGCACAUUGAGCAUUGCUUGGUCUCUUGUAUACGGAACAUAUAGUGGGCAUGGAUCUAACGAUUCUCGUUUGCCCUCAUAUUAGCGUAACGCUUCUCUUACACGACUUGCUCCACGUUUUAG
rnacentral:misc_RNA from 1 species